rnacentral:rRNA from 1 species
AUUGAACGCUGGCGGCAGGCCUAACACAUGCAAGUCGAGCGGAGCGGCAGACGGGUGAGUAAUGCCUGGGAAGCGGCAUGGUAGUGGGGGAUAACGUCCGGAAACGGGCGCUAAUACCGCAUACUAUCAGAUGAGACUAGGUCGGAUUAGGUAGUUGGUGGGGUAAAGGCCUACCAAGGCGACGAUCCGUAACUGGUGUGAGAGGAGGAUCAGUCACACUGGAACUUAGACACGGUCCAUACGCCUACUGGAGCCAGCAGUGGGGAAUAUUGGACAAGGGGCGAAAGCCUGAUCCAGCCAUGCCGCGUGUGUGAAGAAGGUCUUCGGAUUGUAAAGCACUUAAAGUUGGGAGGCGUUACCAACAGAAUAAGCACCGGCUAACUUCGUGCCAGCCGCCGCGGUAAUUC